GUGCUCACUUCAGCAGCACAUAAAACUGGAACGAUACAGGGAAGAUUAGCAUGAUCCCUGAACAAAGAUGACAUGGAAAUUCAUGAAGUUUUUCAUAUUUAU